rnacentral:rRNA from 1 species
AUGGCGUCUGGUCACCGGAGACACUUCGCCGACCCACAUGUGCUUCUCAAGACGCAGUACAAUGGCACUUCCAACCACAUAUGCGACAUCUGCCGAUCCAAGCUGGCCGGCCUCAUGGGCUACCGAUGCAGCGCCUGCGACUUCGACAUCCAUGAGGCUUGCGCCGAUUACUUCAAGCAGACAAUCUCCUUCUUCGCGCACCCCUGGCACACCCUCACGCUAAGCCGCAUGCCCAGCUCCUGUGAUGGAUGGGUCUGCGACCUCUCCAUGGAGGGCUGUCCCCCGGGAGACUUGGUGUACCGCUGCACCGAUUGCCUCUUCGAUGUGCACCCUCUCUGCACCUUGCUCCCGCAGACUAUCCGUAGCCCCCUCCACCCACGGCAUGACCUUCGCUUGGUCCCUUCAGUCGGCACAUGCAAGUGCGGCUGCAAGGAAUUGUCCGUGUGGAACUACGUCUGCUCUUGUCCGUUCAAAGUGAACAUCGCGUGCGCCUCCGGCUGCGCGCCCAGCAGUGGCCGCCAGAGCACUAACAGUGGUCACCAUGCCAGCGGCAGUCAUGUCAGCACCACCGCGCAGGUCAGUUCUGCAAGCCAAACUAGCAGCAGCAGCAGCAGCCAGAGCCUUACCGUCAGACGGAGCCGUCGUUCCUCUGUCGCCAAGUUUCUUCUCAAGACAAGCUUUCAUGUCGCGGUCAACGCAGCAACCGGAGGCUUGGCAUCGCCGGUGCUCGAAGUCCUAUCGGCGGCCUUCAGUUGA